rnacentral:ribozyme from 12 species
AUCCGCCAUUCCUACGAACUCCGUACGAAAAGCAAAACAAAAAAAAAAAAAAAAAAAAAAAAAAAAA